CACGUAGGGGGCGAGCGUUGUCCGGAAUCAUUGGGCGUAAAGAGCUCGUAGGCGGCUCGGUAAGUCGGGUGUGAAACCCCCAGGCUCAACCUGGGGACGCCACCCGAUACUGCUGUGGCUAGAGUCCAGUAGGGGAGUGUGGAAUUCCUGGUGUAGCGGUGAAAUGCGCAGAUAUCAGGAGGAACACCGGUGGCGAAGGCGGGUCUCUGGGCCGAUACUGACGCUGAGGAGCGAAAGCGUGGGGAGCGAACAGG
rnacentral:rRNA from 1 species